UCUAGCUCCUCCCACCAGCCUCCACUGGCAGGUGUGUGUGUGUGUGUGCUAACGUUCUUACGUGUGUGUGUGUGGGGGCAGUUCAGUGUGCUUGCAGGUUAAUAUGCGCAUGUGCCUCUACUGUACAUGUGUCUAUUAAAGCAGAGUCAGUACUCAGAGAGAGACAGAGACAGACAGAGAGACAGAGAGAUAGACAGACAGACAGACAGACAGACAGACAGACAGACAGACAGACAGACAGACAGACAGACAGACAGACAGACAGACAGACAGACAGACAGACAGACAGACAGACAGACAGACAGACAGAGAGACAGAGAGACAGACAGACAGACAGACAGACAGACAGACAGACAGACAGACAGACAGACAGACAGACAGAGAGACAGACAGACAGACAGACAGACACCAUGUCUCCCUCCCAGUCCUCCCUACUGCUGCUGCUGAUGGUCUCCUGCUCCUGGGCCUCCCACUUCUUAGGAGGAACCAUGACCUUCAACCCCAGAGGGACCAACCCAGAUGGGACCUACAGGGUGGACCUUCGUUACAAGACAGCCUUCCACUAUUCCAUCUGUCUUUCUGAUACCUGGUGGUGUGUCAGUGGGGACUGUGGGAAUGAGACCAGUCUAGUGGUUAAGGGAGUGGACCAGGGGAUAUCUGAGGACUGGUGUCAGACAGAAGGAGUCAUGACUAGACACGUCUCCAUUAACACACAGACUUUUGAUCUGCGAUUGGAUAGCUGUUGCUGGAUAGACAAUGAUAAUGAUGUUUAUUUUUGGAGGCUGUUGACUCAUGUGGAUCUUGGGGUCAGGUCUGACACGGGGACAGUCAACCGAUCUCCACAGACCACUGUCAUACCUCUGAUGAGUGUCCCUGCUAAUUGUCAAAGAGAUUUCAACCUGUUGCUGUUUGAUCCAGAUGGGGAUAUGGUCAGAUGCAGAUACGCAGUACCAACGGAUGAGUGUUACACAUCAAGUGACCUUCCUAAUGACUUCACUCUACGAGAGAACUGCACCUUGUCAUUUUGGGGCAACAGUAAUACCACUGGAACAUAUGUAGUUCAGAUGGUGAUGGAGGAUUUCCCGACUCAGUCCAUCUCUCUCUCCUAUACUGACGGAUCUCAAUCUAACAGGACCUCAAACAAUACACUCUGCAAACUGCCUGUUCAGUUUGCAGUGAGAGUGGACCCCCCGGUGACAUCCUGUAUGGAGGGGCUGUACCUACCCAUGUUCCUGUCUCCAACACCAGCCCAGGGUGCACUGCUGUACGCCUCUGCAGACCAACCCCUGGAAAUCACUGUCAGAGCACAGGCUACCAACUCCACGGUUUCAGAGCUGUUGGUGAGUGGACCUUCCGGUAUCACAGAGAACACCACUGAUCCAGGAGAGUACCUUCUAAGAUGGACGCCCACUGAGGAUGAGGAGGGAGGGUACUAUCCUGUGUGCUUCAUCGCUCAGGGAGUGAACGACAGUUCCACGUACCACUCUGAGCUGCGCUGUGUGAUCGUCAGGGUUGGAAACACAAGCGGAGACGUUGUUGUACUGAGGACAAAAGUGUCCGCUCUGAUCCCACUGACAGAUAAUUACAUCAGAAACAUGGUGUUUCAGCAGCUCCGUGAGGAACUGAUCAGACUAGGGCUGCCAGGGGACUUCACGCUACGCCUGUUAGCCACUCAUGACAUCAGUCCCUGAGGGAGGAACAGGAAAUCAGCUCGACUUUCUUCACUUCUACUUGUCUUUUCUUCCUGGUUCUGAUUCUGCAGAUAGUUCUUUUGAAGAAGGAGUGAUUCCUUAUAAUGACAGAAUACGGUUGAUUUGUAAUAAUCUCCUGUGGGUUGCCAAGAUUAGUUGAAUUAACUGACACUACGUCUUACUGGAUGUUAGUUGAAUGAUUUAAAAGUAAAUGAUUUAUGUCUACAAGAAGAAAUGCAACAUAAAUAUGAUUGGUAAUGUACAGAGGUAGACUGAGGUUCUUUCCUGUUUGGUAAUGUACAAAGGUAGACUGAGGUUCUUUCCUGUAGACAGGUUAUUAAACAUUGGGAGAUAUAAUGUUGUUUUCCUUAAGGUGUGAAUCAUAUAGACUGUGUUUGAUUAGGCUUAGAGGACAAGGCCUUAGGAGGUUGAUAAUGAGACGUUAUAAUGGUAAAAUGUUAUAAUGUUGAAAUGUUUAAAAUAUUGAUGUAUUGAGAUAUAACUUGAGUAAUAAAUUAGGUUGUAGAAAGACUAUAAUUUAGUUAAAGGUAGGAGGGUGAAGGGAAUAGGAAAGUUUCAUGUUUGAAAAAUGUAUGUUUUAAGAAGUUGAUGUUCAUGAAGUAUAUUAAGGGUGCUAGCUUGAUCUGGAAAUCCCCAGGUCAGAGCAGCAAGUAGGUUGAAGCGUACGUUCUGCCUAGGUGGGAAAACGUGGAGGUUAGUGGGGGCUGAAAAAGCACCUUUUGAGAAGAUGGAUGCAUUCAUUAGGUGUUAACCACCGAAGGCAUCAGUGGAGCAGGUGGUCAUCCUGAUGAUUUAUCAGAAGAGGCAUUAAGGGUAUAAAGGAAGCAGGUUUCAUGGGAAGGGAAUGACUCUCUUUGAGUUUGCUAGAAGAACCUGUCGUCUGCUGGAGAAAGACUUUUACUGAAGCUUUUUAACUUCAGAUUCAUUUAGAUUUUUAAUAUACUUGGUUUUUUAUUCUGAAAGUGUUCUAGUACAUUCUAGGAGGAACCCUGAAUGUUACCUCAUUGAUAGGAGUGUUCUAGUACAUUCUAGGAGGAACCCUAAAGGUUACCUCAUUGAUAGGAGUGUUCUAGUACAUUUUAGGAGGAACCCUGAAGGUUACCUCAUUGAUAGAAGUGUUCUAGUACAUUUUAGGAGGAACCCUGAAGGUUACCUCACUGAUAGGAGUGUUCUAGUACAUUCUAGGAGGAACCCUGAAGGUUACCUCAUUGAUAGGAGUGUUCUAGUACAUUCUAGGAGGAACCCUAAAGGUUACCUCAUUGAUAGGAGUGUUCUAGUACAUUCUAGGAGGAACCCUGAAGGUUACCUCAUUGAUAGGAGUGUUCUAGUACAUUCUAGGAGGAGCCCUAAAGGUUACCUCACUGAUAGGAGUGUUCUAGUACAUUCUAGGAGGAACCCUGAAGGUUACCUCACUGAUAGGAGUGUUCUAGUACAUUCUAGGAGGAGCCCUAAAGGUUACCUCACUGAUAGGAGUGUUCUAGUACAUUCUAGGAGGAACCCUAAAGGUUACCUCACUGAUAGGAGUGUUCUAGUACAUUCUAGGAGGAACCCUAAAGGUUACCUCAUUGAUAGAAGUGUUCUAGUACAUUCUAGGAGGAACCCUAAAGGUUACCUCAUUGAUAGGAAUGUUCUAGUACAUUCUAGGAGGAACCCUAAAGGUUACCUCACUGAUAGGAGUGUUCUAGUAGCUGUUAGUUUUUUAGACACCAACUGAGGGACUGAGAAACCUGAAGGGGGAGACAAAAAUCUGUUUAUAAUUUGUAGAAGGUAAGAACUUGUUUUUCUUGUUAUUGAACACUGUGCUUCUCAUAAAAUUGUUAUAGACCAAACAUAUUUUAUUGACACACACUAAUAAGGGUUUAGAUAAGGGUUUAGUUAUGGGCGCUGAAGGCAUCUCUCAAUUUAAUCCAAGUUAUAUUUUUGCUUAUCAUCGAUUGGGGAUAUUGAUUUAUGAUUGAUUGAUUGAUCUGUGAUUUUUAAUGCCUGUUUCUGGAAUUUUGAAUAAACUUGUUUUAUUGUUCUGAAA
rnacentral:lncRNA from 1 species